rnacentral:rRNA from 1 species
GACGAAGGAUGCAAGCGUUAUCCGGAUUCAUUGGGUUUAAAGGGUGCGUAGGCGGACCAGUAAGUCAGUGGUGAAAUCUCUUUGCUUAACAAAGAAACUGCCAUUGAUACUGCUAGUCUAGAGUAUAGAUGACGUUGGCGGAAUAUGACAUGUAGUGGUGAAAUACUUAGAUAUGUCAUAGAACACCGAUUGCGAAGGCAGCUAACGAAACUAUAACUGACGCUGAGGCACGAAGGCCAGGGGAGCAAACGGG